rnacentral:rRNA from 1 species
AAUGAACGCUGGCGGCAGGCCUAACACAUGCAAGUCGAGCGGAGCGGCGGACGGGUGAGUAAUGCCUAGGAAUCUACCUGGUAGUGGGGGAUAACGUCCGGAAACGGGCGCUAAUAUCGCAUCCUAUCUGAUGCGCCUAGGUCGGAUUGGCCAUUUGGUGGGGUAAAGGCCUACCAGGUCGACGAUCCGUACCUGGUCUGAGAGGAGGAUCAGCCACACUGGAACUGAGACACGGUCCAGACUCCUACGGGAGGCAGCAGUGGGGAAUAUUGGACAAUGGGCGAAAGCCUGCUCCAGCCAUGCCGCUGGUGGGAAGAAGGUCUUCGGAUGGUAAAGCCCGUUAAGUUGGGAGGCGUUACCAACAGAAUAAGCACCGGCUAACUUCGUGCCAGCAGCCGCGGUAAUAC